rnacentral:rRNA from 1 species
CCUACGGGUGGCAGCAGUGAGGAAUAUUGGUCAAUGGUCGCGAGCCUGAACUAGCCAAGUAGCGUGAAGGAUGACUGCCCUACGGGUUGUAAACUUCUUUUAUAAAGGAAUACAGUGAGGCACGUGUGCCUUUUUGUAUGUACUUUAUGACUAAGGAUCGGCUAACUCCGUGCCAGCAGCCGCGGUAAUACGGAGGAUCCGAGCGUUAUCCGGAUUUAUUGGGUUUAAAGGGAGCGUAGAUGGGUGGUUAAGUCAGUUGUGAAAGUUUGCGGCUCAACCGUAAAAUUGCAAUUGAUACUGGCAGCCUUGAGUACAGUUGAGGUAGGCGGAAUUCGUGGGGUAGCGGUGAAAUGCGUAGAUAUCACGAAGAACUCCGAUUGCGAAGGCAGCCUACUAAACUGCCACUGACACUGAUGCUCGAAAGUGUGGGUAUCAAACAGGAGUAGAGACCCGAGUAGUC